CCAGUUUUCAAUGGAAAAAAAUGCUAAUUCCCCAGAAAUGGAAUGGGAUGCAAGCAAUCAAAUAGAGGCAUCAAAUGUCAUCAAUGAUGAAUCAAAGCAUCAGAAUUUUCAGAACAAUGAAACUGAUAUCAGUUUGAGGACUGAUGGUGCAGCAUCAUUGUUGGCAAAAAGAACGAUACUUGCCCAGGACCAAGCACUUCAAUUUGGAAACUUUUUAGGCCAACCUGCUAAUCAAUCUUCAGUUGUUGGUCCAUCUUGUGCCACCACUACAUCUGUCCAUUCUACUUCAGCACCUAAGCUAAACUCAACAAGUUAUUACUCUUGUUCACAUCCAGAGAAUGGCACUCAUGUGGCAGUUGAACCAUU
rnacentral:misc_RNA from 1 species